rnacentral:rRNA from 1 species
AGCGAACGCUGGCGGCAGGCUUAACACAUGCAAGUCGAGCGGGCAUCCUUGUGGUGUCAGCGGCAGACGGGUGAGUAACGCGUGGGAACGUGCCCUUCGGUUCGGAAUAACUCAGGGAAACUUGAGCUAAUACCGGAUACGUGCGAGAGCAGAAAGGUUUAUCUGCCGAAGGAUCGGCCCGCGUCUGAUUAGCUAGUUGGUGAGGUUAUGGCUCACCAAGGCGACGAUCAGUAGCUGGUCUGAGAGGAUGAUCAGCCACACUGGGACUGAGACACGGCCCAGACUCCUACGGGAGGCAGCAGUGGGGAAUAUUGGACAAUGGGGGCAACCAUGAUCCAGCCAUGCCGCGUGAGUGAUGACGGCCUUAGGGUUGUAAAGCUCUUUUCUCCGGGACGAUAAUGACGGUACCGGAGGAAUAAGCCCCGGCUAACUUCGUG